rnacentral:tRNA from 1 species
GUUUUAAUAGUUUAAACAAAACAAUGGUUUUGUAAACCAUUAAUAAGGAAAACCUUUUAAAACU